rnacentral:SRP_RNA from 1 species
GCUGGGUGUGGUGGCGGGCACCUGUAAUCCCAGCUACUUGGGAGGCUGAGGCAGAAGAAUCGCUUGAACCUGGGAGGCGGAGGUUGCAGUGAGCCGAGAUCGCGCCACUGCACUCCAGCCUGGGCGACAGAGUGAGACUCUGUCUCAA